rnacentral:pre_miRNA from 17 species
AAAAUCCAAUGUGGAGAUCCUGUGGUGAACUAGCAGCACAUAAUGGUUUGUGAGUUGUACGGAGAUGCAGGCCACAUUGUGCUGCCACAUGAACACAGGAGUAUAAUCUGAUUUCACUA